GAUGAACGCUGGCAGCGUGCUUAACACAUGCAAGUCGAACGAUGAACCGGGUGCUUGCACUCGGGGAUUAGUGGCGAACGGGUGAGUAACACGUGAGCAACCUGCCCCUGACUCUGGGAUAAGCGCUGGAAACGGCGUCUAAUACUGGAUAUGUCCCGUCACCGCAUGGUGUGCGGGUGGAAAGAUUUUUCGGUUGGGGAUGGGCUCGCGGCCUAUCAGCUUGUUGGUGGGGUAAUGGCUCACCAAGGCGUCGACGGGUAGCCGGCCUGAGGGGGUGACCGGCCACACUGGGACUGAGACACGGCCCAGACUCCUACGGGAGGCAGCAGUGGGGAAUAGUGCACAAUGGGCGGAAGCCUGAUGCAGCAACGCCGCGUGAGGGAUGACGGCCUUCGGGUUGUAAACCUCUUUUAGUAGGGAAGAAGCGAAAGUGACGGUACCUGCAGAAAAAGCACCGGCUAACUACGUGCCAGCCGCCGCGGUAA
rnacentral:rRNA from 1 species